AGAGUUUGAUCCUUACUCAGGAUGAACGCUAGCGGCAGGCUUAACACAUGCAAGUCGAGGGGCAGCGGGGUGUAGCAAUACACUGCCGGCGACCGGCGCACGGGUGCGUAACGCGUAUGCAACCUACCCAUAACAGGGGCAUAACACUGAGAAAUUGGUACUAAUUCCCCAUAACAUUCGAAGAGGCAUCUCUUUGGGUUGAAAACUCCGGUGGUUAUGGAUGGGCAUGCGUUGUAUUAGCUAGUUGGUGGGGUAACGG
rnacentral:rRNA from 1 species